UCUUCAUGAGAAUAUAAUAAAUCACGAUAACGCCUUCAUUCGACUGCAUAUGAGAAUAGUAGAAAUGAAUGUUGAUAUACUUACUGUGUACUGUGGUCACUGCAAUAGCAACUAGAUCAAUUAAAACUCUUGUUAUCUGUCUUUAUUAACAGAGAGUUCUUCAUUAGUAUAUUGCACAACGAUAUAAUCUUUAAACUAUUUUACUAAAUUUACAUUCACUGUUCAAAAGUUCUACUCAAUCUGAGUCCAUAUAAACAAGAGAUAGGUAUGACGUGUUGAGGAAAUGAUCUGUUUCUUUACCUUCAUCAGAUUCUUUGUACAAGAUACCUAGAUCACUCAUUACCUUGAAAUAUUAUACGACAUGCAGAAGUGUCUUUCAUGUCUU
rnacentral:sRNA from 1 species